rnacentral:rRNA from 1 species
UGACCUACGGGAGGCAGCAGUGAGGAAUAUUGGUCAAUGGGCUUACGCCUGAACCAGCCAAGUCGCGUGAGGGAAGACUGCCCUAUGGAUUGUAAACCUCUUUUGUCAGGGAACAAAGGCGCCCACGGGUGGGCGGAUGAGUGUACCCGAAGAAAAAGCAUCGGCUAACUCCGUGCCAGCAGCCGCGGUAAUACGGAGGAUGCGAGCGUUAUCCGGAUUUAUUGGGUUUAAAGGGUGCGUAGGCGGACAGUCAAGUCAGCGGUAAAAAUGCGGUGCUCAACGCCGUACAGCCGUUGAAACUGGCA